rnacentral:rRNA from 1 species
CGCAGCGAGAGGUGCUUGCACCUUUCAAGCGAGUGGCGAACGGGUGAGUAACACGUGGAUAACCUGCCUCAAGGCUGGGGAUAACAUUUGGAAACAGAUGCUAAUACCGAAUAAAACUUAGUAUCGCAUGAUAUCAAGUUAAAAGGCGCUACGGCGUCACCUAGAGAUGGAUCCGCGGUGCAUUAGUUAGUUGGUGGGGUAAAGGCUUACCAAGACAAUGAUGCAUAGCCGAGUUGAGAGACUGAUCGGCCACAUUGGGACUGAGACACGGCCCAAACUCCUACGGGAGGCUGCAGUAGGGAAUCUUCCACAAUGGGCGCAAGCCUGAUGGAGCAACGCCGCGUGUGUGAUGAAGGCUUUCGGGUCGUAAAGCACUGUUGUAUGGGAAGAAAUGCUAAAAUAGGGAAUGAUUUUAGUUUGACGGUACCAUACCAGAAAGGGACGGCUAAAUACGUGCCAGCAGCCGCGGUAAUACGUAUGUCCCGAGCGUUAUCCGGAUUUAUUGGGCGUAAAGCGAGCGCAGACGGUUGAUUAAGUCUGAUGUGAAAGCCCGGAGCUCAACUCCGGAAUGGCAUUGGAAACUGGUUAACUUGAGUGUUGUAGAGGUAAGUGGAACUCCAUGUGUAGCGGUGGAAUGCGUAGAUAUAUGGAAGAACACCAGUGGCGAAGGCGGCUUACUGGACAACAACUGACGUUGAGGCUCGAAAGUGUGGGUAGCAAACAGGAUUAGAUACCCUGGUAGUCCACACCGUAAACGAUGAAUACUAGGUGUUAGGAGGUUUCCGCCUCUUAGUGCCGAAGCUAACGCAUUAAGUAUUCCGCCUGGGGAGUACGACCGCAAGGUUGAAACUCAAAGGAAUUGACGGGGACCCGCACAAGCGGUGGAGCAUGUGGUUUAAUUCGAAGCAACGCGAAGAACCUUACCAGGUCUUGACAUCCUUUGAAGCUUUUAGAGAUAGAAGUGUUCUCUUCGGAGACAAAGUGACAGGUGGUGCAUGGUCGUCGUCAGCUCGUGUCGUGAGAUGUUGGGUUAAGUCCCGCAACGAGCGCAACCCUUAUUGUUAGUUGCCAGCAUUCAGUUGGGCACUCUAGCGAGACUGCCGGUGACAAACCGGAGGAAGGCGGGGACGACGUCAGAUCAUCAUGCCCCUUAUGACCUGGGCUACACACGUGCUACAAUGGCGUAUACAACGAGUUGCCAACCUGCGAAGGUGAGCUAAUCUCUUAAAGUACGUCUCAGUUCGGACUGCAGUCUGCAACUCGACUGCACGAAGUCGGAAUCGCUAGUAAUCGCGGAUCAGCACGCCGCGGUGAAUACGUUCCCGGGUCUUGUACACACCGCCCGUCACACCAUGGGAGUUUGUAAUGCCCAAAGCCGGUGGCCUAACCUCGGGAGGAGC